AUUGAACGCUGGCGGCAUGCUUUACACAUGCAAGUCGAACGGUAACAGGGAGCUUGCUCCGCUGACGAGUGGCGAACGGGUGAGUAAUGCAUCGGAACGUACCGUGUAAUGGGGGAUAACGUAGCGAAAGUUACGCUAAUACCGCAUACGCCCUGAGGGGGAAAGCGGGGGAUCGUAAGACCUCGCGUUAUACGAGCGGCCGAUGUCGGAUUAGCUAGUUGGUAGGGUAAAGGCCUACCAAGGCGACGAUCCGUGGCUGGUCUGAGAGGACGACCAGCCACACUGGAACUGAGACACGGUCCAGACUCCUACGGGAGGCAGCAGUGGGGAAUUUUGGACAAUGGGGGCGAACCCUGAUCCAGCCAUUCCGCGUGAGUGAAGAAGGCCUCG
rnacentral:rRNA from 1 species